AUUCUUUUAGUAUAUUAGUAUAUCUAACUUCCAAUUAGAAGGUCUUAAAUAAGAAAGAAUA
rnacentral:tRNA from 1 species